rnacentral:rRNA from 1 species
GUCCUUGCCGUAAACGAUGUAUACUUGAUGUAAUUGGGCUCAACCCUGAUUGUGUCGAAGCUAACGCGAUAAGUAUACCGCCUGAGGAGUACGCUCGCAAGGGUGAAACUCAAAAGAAUUGACGGGGGCCCCGCACAAGCAGUGGAGCAUGUGGUUUAAUUCGAUGCAACGCGAAGAACCUUACCCAGGCUCGAAAUGUAAUGGACGAUAUCAGAGAUGGUAUUUCCCGCAAUGGCUGUUAUAUAGGUGCUGCAUGGCUGUCGU